GACGAACGCUGGCGGCGUGCUUAACACAUGCAAGUCGAACGAUGAAGCUGGAGCUUGCUCUGGUGGAUUAGUGGCGAACGGGUGAGUAACACGUGAGUAACCUGCCCUGGACUCUGGGAUAACCCCGAGAAAUCGGAGCUAAUACCGGAUAGGACCUUGGAUCGCAUGAUCUGGGGUGGAAAGUUUUUCGGUCUGGGAUGGACUAGCGGCCUAUCAGCUUGUUGGUGAGGUAAUGGCUCACCAAGGCGUCGACGGGUAGCAGGCCUGAGGGGGUGACCGGCCACACUGGGACUGAGACACGGCCAAGACUCGUACGGGAGGCAGCAGUGGGGAAUAUUGCACGAUGGGCGCAAGCCUGAUGCAGCAACGCCGCGUGCGGGAUGACGGCCUUCGGGUUGUAAACCGCUUUUAGUAGGGAAGAAGCCGCAAGGUGACGGUACUUGCAGAAAAAGGACCGGCUAACUACGUGCCAGCCGCCGCAGUAACAC
rnacentral:rRNA from 1 species